ACGCGAGUGGAUGCCAAUCCCUAAAACCCCUCUCAGUUCGGACUGGAGUCUGCAACCCGACUCCACGAAGCUGGAUUCGCUAGUAAUCGCGCAUCAGCCACGGCGCGGUGAAUACGUUCCCGGGCCUUGUACACACCGCCCGUCAAGCCAUGGGAGCCGGGGGUACCUGAAGUGCGUAACCGGCGAGGAUCGCCCUAGGGUAAAACUGGUGACUGGGGCUAAGUCGUAACAAGGUACC
rnacentral:rRNA from 1 species